AUUUUUCUCAAAUUAUUUGUUUCCUGCUUGUAUUUUUAUUUACACAAUCAUUUGUAAAUCAGAUUUAAUAAGAUUUGUUUCACACCUUGUAGGUAAAGUUACAAAAUGUAAAAGUACAUCGAUUUUUUAAGCCAAAUCUUAAAAAACAAUACGCCGAUUUCUUUCGCUACAAUAUUACACGCGCAACAUGUGCAAUUGAAGAGUUCUCGAGCGUGUCCAGCGGGAAGAUUACUACUUUCUUGGCGAAUGAAACUCGCUCAAUAAUCACGGAGACUUCACGUAUAUAUUUUGCGUUUUUUCUCUUCCUAUAGAAGGAGAUCGGCGUGGUGGACGAACGAGGGAGUGGGAGAGUGAUAGCCAGACGAAGUGUGCGAGUGAUCGAAGUGACGGUAGAACGAGAGAAGACUGAGCACGCAACCUGUGCACAUUCUGUCAGUGCUGGGUAUGCAAAUGCCGAUGGCAGAAGAGGAAACCUUUGGCCCCUUAUAAGAAGUAACGUGAAGAACGGUCCACGGAUCGUCGUCCACUCUCGGGUCUUCCGCGAGUCUUCCUCGAGUCCUCCUCGAGAUCACGAUGCCGACAGGCGAGAUUUAAGCCGGCGCUGACUGGUACCGGAGGAGCUGUGAAUCUGCUACCAGGGAGAGAAACGGACGAAGCUUUGCGAAGCAGGGCGCGACGCUUUCGUGUACCAAAGGUGUGCUAUGC